CCUCAAACGCAGCAGCCUGUUCAAAAUCGCUUUGCUUUGCGGCCGUCAUAGUUGCUCUCCUCGUUGCGUUUCUUGUGAAUUCAGAUCCAAAAAAUGGCAGGUGGACUCGCUGCGCGUUUUUGGAAGCUCCCGGUGCCUCAAUCCUCCGAUGUAAAGGCCGCCGCCAUGUGGGGCGUCGCGGCCGGCACCGGCGCUCUUUGGUUCGUCCAGCCGUUUGAUUGGAUAAAGAAGACAUUUUUCGAGAAGCCUGCUUCGGCUGAAGGCCAAUAAUUUUCACGAUGUUGCUGGAUCUGUGGGAACGCAGUUUUCAAGUUUCAAUGAGCCAACUAAUCAGAGGAGAGAUUCUAAUUUCCCAUCUGUUUCAAUAAUUUGCUUGUUUUGGAAUUUCCUAAGGACUAAAUUUUUUUUUUUUUUCAAUUGAAUACGUUCUUUGAGGUUUAGUUGUGAUAGCUAUUUUAUAGUGAUUUCUGUUCUAGCUGCAUAUGAAUUUUCAAUUUUUGACGUCAUAUUAUUCUACA